AUUAUGGCUCUUGGCCGGGACGUGUUCCCCAGUCCAACCCAUAGAGGAAUGCACCUUGCCUCUUGGUCAAAAAACAAAUUGGGUUAAUGUUGUGUGGUAGGUUGUAUUCUCGAAGCACAUAGAUUUC
rnacentral:sRNA from 12 species